AUUGAACGCUGGCGGCAUGCCUUACACAUGCAAGUCGAACGGCAGCACGGGAGCAAUCCUGGUGGCGAGUGGCGAACGGGUGAGUAAUAUAUCGGAACGUGCCCAGUCGUGGGGGAUAACGUAGCGAAAGCUACGCUAAUACCGCAUACGAUCUAUGGAUGAAAGCGGGGGAUCGCAAGACCUCGCGCGAUUGGAGCGGCCGAUAUCAGAUUAGGUAGUUGGUGAGGUAAAGGCUCACCAAGCCGACGAUCUGUAGCUGGUCUGAGAGGACGACCAGCCACACUGGGACUGAGACACGGCCCAGACUCCUACGGAGGCAGCAGUGGGGAAUUUUUGGACAAUAGGGCGCAAGCCUGAUCCAGCAAUGCCGCGUGCAGGAUGAAGGCCUCGGUUGUAACGUAGCGUUUU
rnacentral:rRNA from 1 species